CUUAUAUAUAAAAAGAUAUACAUACAUUUGUGGGUGGACUUGUAGGUCUAAAAUAUCACUAUGUUAUUGAAAAUUCAUCUUAUUUACCUAUCAGUUCGAAUCUUCUGCACUUUUAUUUUGAGGAAUCAUAGGGUGGCUUGGGUUGGAAGGGACUUGAAGGAUCAUCAAGCUCCAAUCCCCCACCACAGGGAGAGCCACCAACCUCCACAUUUGAUAGGAAUCAUUUCUUAGCCAUGUAAUCUGGUGUGGAAGACUUUGGAAUGCUGGCAAGAUGUUGGUGCUGGUCUGGGAAUAGCUGUGCUAUCUUUGUGACAAAGAGGAUACACUUUCUCAGCAGGGAAUACCCAGGGAAAAAGAAGAUCGUAGAGUUUUAAAGAUGUUUCAACUUUUAGUAAUUAAGCUCUGGUGAACGUUGCAAGAAUAUUUAAUGUUGUGCUGAUCUAUCUGAGGAGGAUCUGGAGACUUACAAGGAAUUACAAGAACAUGACUUACAAAACAGAAAGCUCACAUUGUCAAAGCAUCCUCUGAAAUGCUUUCAGAUUGAGAAGGUUUUUUUUCUGGCAUUUCAUUAGGAAUAGGCAGCAGGGAGAGUCUCCUGACAUUAAGGCAUUUUUGUUUUGUUUUGUUUUGUUCUUCACUCCCAUAGUUAAGAGUAACUUGUUGGCUUUUUUCCACCUCAUGCUCACUCUCGCAGAUGAGCAUUAGAGAGAAUUUGGAAAUGGAAGGCCUUUCUGUCUGCUGCUAGCAGGGUCAAUUCAGUGUGGCAGCUGCGAGCUGGUGACAUAGACUUAUAUUGACACAACCCACUUUUUGCUGCAGAAUCACAAAGCGAAAGCACCCGGGGCUCUUCUGCCUUUUUCAAUAAGAUACGAAUUUUUGUCUUCCUUGUAUUAAGCAGAGAUCUGUCAUCUUGACUUGUACACUAAAUGGUCCAUUCUGACUGCCUUGUUUGUGUCCAAUCCCAGCCAGAAUCUAGAAACAUGUGUUAACAUUCGGCAUGUUUGGGGGCGAGCUGGAAGGGCCUGAGGCUAGACUCCCUGAUGUCUGCUGGAGGGUAGUCAAUAAUCAUUAGCCCUUCAAGUGGUAGAUGCCCAACAUAAACUGUAUUUAUUUAUUUAAAAAAUCUUUACUUUAAGCCACGGGGAAAGGCAUUUUAGAGAACGCGGCUCCCCUGAAGAAACGAAGCAGUAAUAAAGACAUAGUGCCAUGUUACUGAGAUCCUGGCUUAUGGAGGGGGGCACGCUUUUUAGCACUGUGUCAUCAGCCAGAGCAAUGGGAAACUAUUAAAAAUAAUUAGCCUGCGCGUGUCUGUCACUUAAGUUAGUCCCUGUGGUAAUAAAGAAGUGUGAUUUGCCCCAAGAC
ensembl:lncRNA